ACCCAAGUAGCACGGGGCCCGAGAAAUCCCGUGUGAAUCUGGCGGGACCACCCGCUAAGCCUAAAUAUUCCCUGGUGACCGAUAGCGGAUAGUACCGUGAGGGAAUGGUGAAAAGUACCGCGGGAGCGGAGUGAAAUAGUACCUGAAACCGUGUGCCUACAAGCCGUGGGAGCGUCGCUGUAUGUGCUUGCACAUGCAGUCGUGACUGCGUGCCUUUUGAAGAAUGAGCCUGCGAGUUAGCGGUGUGUAGCGAGGUUAACCCGUGUGGGGAAGCCGUAGCGAAAGCGAGUCCGAAUAGGGCGAUUGAGUUGCACGCUCUAGACCCGAAGCGGAGUGAUCUAGCCAUGGGCAGGUUGAAGCGGAGGUAAGACUUCGUGGAGGACCGAACCCACCAGGGUUGAAAACCUGGGGGAUGACCUGUGGUUAGGGGUGAAAGGCCAAUCAAACUCCGUGAUAGCUGGUUCUCCCCGAAAUGCAUUUAGGUGCAGCGUCGUGUGUUUCUUGCCGGAGGUAGAGCACUGGAUAGGCGAUGGGCCCUACCGGGUUACUGACCUUAGCCAAACUCCGAAUGCCGGUAAGUGAGAGCGCGGCAGUGAGACUGUGGGGGAUAAGCUCCAUGGUCGAGAGGGAAACAGCCCAGAGCAUCGACUAAGGCCCCUAAGCGUACGCUAAGUGGGAAAGGAUGUGGAGUCGCAGAGACAACCAGGAGGUUGGCUUAGAAGCAGCCACCCUUGAAAGAGUGCGUAAUAGCUCACUGGUCAAGUGAUUCCGCGCCGACAAUGUAGCGGGGCUCAAGCGUACCGCCGAAGUCGUGUCAUUCC
rnacentral:rRNA from 1 species